rnacentral:rRNA from 1 species
UACGGAGGAUGCAAGCGUUAUCCGGAAUUAUUGGGCGUAAAGCGUCCGUAGGUGGCUAUUCAAGUCAGAUGUUAAAGCGUGGGGCUUAACUCCAUAAAGGCAUCUGAAACUGAUUGGCUAGAGUGCGAUAGGGGCAAGGGGAAUUUCCAGUGUAGCGGUGAAAUGCGUAGAUAUUGGAAAGAACACCGGUGGCGAAAGCGCCUUGCUGGGUCUGCACUGACACUGAGGGACGAAAGCUAGGGGAGCGAAAGGG